rnacentral:piRNA from 1 species
UCUCGAUCUAUGAGUGCCAUUUGGAUU